rnacentral:rRNA from 1 species
GACGAACGCUGGCGGCGUGCUUAACACAUGCAAGUCGAGCGGUAAGGCCCGUUUCGGGGGUACACGAGCGGCGAACGGGUGAGUAACACGUGGGUGACCUGCCCUUAGCUCUGGGAUAAGCCUGGGAAACUGGGUCUAAUACCGGAUAUGACUCCAUGACGCAUGUUGUGGGGUGGAAAGCCUUGUGCGGCUAGGGAUGGGCCCGCGGCCUGUCAGCUUGUUGGUGGGUGAUGGCCUACCAAGGCGACGACGGUA